rnacentral:misc_RNA from 1 species
GAUGAAGAACGCAGCGAAAUGCGAUAAGUAGUGUGAAUUGCAGAAUUCAGUGAAUCAUCGAAUCUUUGAACGCACAUUGCGCCCCUUGGUAUUCCUUAGGGCAUGCCUGUUCGAGCGUCAUUUAAACCUUCAAGCUCAGCUUGGUGUUGGGUGACUGUCCGCUUCACCGCGGACUCGCCUCAAAAUUAUUGGCGGCCGGUACAUUGGCUUCGAGCGCAGCAGAAACGCGAACUCGGGCCCGUCGUAUUGGCUCCCAGAAGCUAUCUUCACAAUUUUGACCUCGGAUCAGGUAGGGAUACCCGCUGAACUUAAGCAUAUCAAUAAGCGGAGGA